GGUCCCAUCGUCUAUCGGCCAGGACACUUGGUUCUCAUCCAAGAAAGCGGAGUUCAAUUCUCCGUGGGACCG
rfam:Candidatus Staskawiczbacteria bacterium RIFCSPHIGHO2_01_FTLL_41_41 rifcsphigho2_01_scaffold_25874, whole genome shotgun sequence.